GUAGGACUUGAGUGUAUCUUUGUUUGCAGCCCAGAAAUGUGUUGGCUUUUUGGACAGCUGCUGCACACUGCUGGCUCAUAUCUAAAUGGUUGUCCACUAGGACUUCAAGAUCCCUCUCACAGAUAGUGCCCAAUGUUCAAGUAUUUCAAGAUCCUUCUGUAUCAUGAGCCUAUCUUCUGGAGUGUUGGCUAUUCCUGCCAGUUUGGUGUCAUCUGCAAAUUUGAUGAGUUCCCCAUCUAUCCCCUUGUCCAAGUCAUUGAUGAAGAUGUUGAAGAGUACUGGGGCUAAAACAAAGCCUUGGAGUACUCCACUGCAUACUUCCCUCCAUGUACAUGCAGUUCCAUUGAGGACUACACAUUGAGUGCG